AUUGAACGCUGGCGGCAUGCCUUACACAUGCAAGUCGAACGGUAACAGGUCUUCGGAUGCUGACGAGUGGCGAACGGGUGAGUAAUACAUCGGAACGUGCCUAGUAGUGGGGGUUAACUACUCGAAAGAGUGGCUAAUACCGCAUAAGAUCUACGGAUGAAAGCAGGGGAUCGCAAGACCUUGUGCUACUAGAGCGGCCGAUGGCAGAUUAGGUAGUUGGUGGGAUAAAAGCUUACAAAGCCGACGAUCUGUAGCUGGUCUGCGGGGACGAUCAGCCACACUGGGACUGAGACACGGCCCAGACUCCUACGGGAGGCAGCAGUGGGGAAUUUUGGACAAUGGGCGCAAGCCUGAUCCAGCAAUGCCGCGUGCAGGAUGAAGGCCUUCGGGUUGUAAACUGCUUUUGUACGGAACGAAAAGCCCUGGGUUAAUACCCUGGGGUCAUGACGGUACCGUAAGAAUAAGCACCGGCUAACUACGUGCCAGCCGCCGCGGUAA
rnacentral:rRNA from 1 species